AUUGAACGCUGGCGGCAGGCCUAACACAUGCAAGUCGAGCGGAUGAAGGGAGCUUGCUCCUGGAUUCAUCGGCGGACGGGUGAGGAAUGCCUAGGAAUCUGCCUGGUAGUGGGGGAUAACGUUCGGAAACGGGCGCUAAUACCGCAUCCGUCCUGAGGGAGAAAGUGGGGGAUCUUCGGACCUCACCCUAUCACAUGAGCCUAGGUCGGAUUAGCUAGUUGGUGGGGUAAAGGCCUACCAAGGCGACGAUCCGUAACUGGUCUGAGAGGAUGAUCAGUCACACUGGAACUGAGACACGGUCCAGACUCCUACGGGAGGCAGCAGUGGGGAAUAUUGGACAAUGGGCGAAAGCCUGAUCCAGCCAUGCCGCGUGUGUGAAGAAGGUCUUCGGAUUGUAAAGCACUUUAAGUUGGGAGGAAGGGCAGUAAGUUAAUACCUUGCUGUUUUGACGUUACCAACAGAAUAAGCACCGGCUAACUUCGUG
rnacentral:rRNA from 1 species